rnacentral:rRNA from 1 species
CCUACGGGGGGCAGCAGUGGGGAAUAUUGCACAAUGGGGGAAACCCUGAUGCAGCGACGCCGCGUGAGUGAAGAAGUAUUUCGGUACGUAAAGCUCUAUCAGCAGGGAAGAAAAUGACGGUACCUGACUAAGAAGCCCCGGCUAACUACGUGCCAGCAGCCGCGGUAAUACGUAGGGGGCAAGCGUUAUCCGGAUUUACUGGGUGUAAAGGGAGCGUAGACGGCAGCGCAAGUUUGGAGUGAAAUCCCAUGGCUUAACCAUGGAACUGCUUUGGAAACUGUGCAGCUAGAGUGCAGGAGAGGUAAGCGGAAUUCCUAGUGUAGCGGUGAAAUGCGUAGAUAUUAGGAGGAACACCAGUGGCGAAGGCGGCUUACUGGACUGUAACUGACGUUGAGGCUCGAAAGCGUGGGGAGCAAACAGGAUUAGAUACCCGAGUAGUC